CUCUUGGCUCCUGCGGUGUUGAAAGAGUUCCAGAACAGUGUUUGGAGAUUAAGGGUCCCAUGUGUGUCUCCUAUGUUUGGUGAUUGACGAUGAGCAUAAUUUUGCAUAGAUUGCUGUCUCCUGGGGGUACUGUUUUUUCCAGGCCCCCUGGAUCAAGAUGAGGGCUUUCGCAGAUGGGCACAGGUUGUUCAAGAACCCAACCACAGCCAUAGACUUCUGGCGUGCGUUUAGAAGGAACAUUGACACAAUGAUGAAACAGACACCAGAUAGAUGGGUUGCCCUUGAACAGAGAAUGAAAAAGAAAGUUGAAGCUUGCAAUAAAGAAGAUUAAGAAACAGAAA